rnacentral:lncRNA from 1 species
CCCUUUGUCCUAUCAUGUGACCACUUGUCACACUUCCAUCAAACAGUACCUGCCCCUUAGGUGUGCUAGGGAAUAAAUGAAAUGCCUGGGACAUCAUCGUUAAGUGGCAUCUGAUGCAUAAGCAGUGCCCUAGGAAUGGGGUUGCCUGCCUUGGUCUCUAAAGGAUGGGUUCAAAAGGCAAGAGCAGCACACAAGAAGAUAGCUUCAAGCAGGAGAUAAAGCUUGGCCCAGGGCCCAAAGGGGAUACGACCCUUCAGCAAACUGACAUGCUGAAAGCUGCCCUAUGGAGAGGCUCAUGUGGCAAGGAACAGAGGGUGGCUUCUGGCCAACACCCAGUGAGGAACUCAGGCCCUCAGUCAAACAGCCUGCAAGGAACUGAACCCUGCCAAUAACCCUGGGUUGAAAGCUUCCCUUUGGAGAAGAACUGAGGGCUGUCUCUGGUCAAUAGCACUGAGGAACUGAAUCCAGCAAACAAUUAUGUGAAGAAACUUGGAAGCUUGUCCUCCCCUCUAGUUGAGCUUUGAGAUGACUGCCGCCCUAGUGGACACCUUGAUUGAAGCCUUAUGAGAAACCCUAAGCCAGAGAACCCAAUUAAGCUACGCUUACAUUCCUAACACAGAGAAAAUAUGAGCUAAUAAAUGUUGUUUCAAACCACUAA